rnacentral:lncRNA from 1 species
CUAUUUCAUCAAGUUUGUCUCAUUUACAAAAUGUUGCCCUGGGAAACCUAAAGGAAUUAAGGUAGGACAGAGAAGUAAUAAUGCGGAAGGUAAAGGUUGGUGGGGGAUAGGACUGCUGUUUUUAGUGGAAUCUUCUACAUGGAAAGAAAACUGCAGAAAUACUAGCAAGAAUCACCAAAUAUUCCAGAGACAGAAGAUAAGAAUGCUGCUAGUGUCCCCAAGUACAAAAGAAAUCUAAGAUCAAUUUCAGAAAUCGAGAUGUUAAUGGAAAUUAAACAAAACAAAAAUAAAUCAAGAUGAUUAUAAACUAAAGAAAAAUUUAAAACUUGCCCAAAGUUUGGAAACCUGAAAUGUGAGACUUUAACCCUAAUAUCAAGUUGGACAUUUUGGAAAAGAAGCUUCUCAAGACAUUUCUCAAGCAAAAAAUUACUUUUAAUGUUGAUCCUUUAAUUAACAAAAGCAGCUAAGAUUCAAUCAGAAGGGAAUUUGGAUCCAUUGACUACUUCCAGUCUGACACGUAAGCACUCAUCCCAAAGAAUCUUCAGCUCCAGGAUCUGGUGGAUACUUGGUUUACAAGUUUAUGUAAUUACUUUUCCAUUUCUUAAAAAUUAAAAAUAAAAAGAUGUGAAGUUUCUAAUUCAACUUGUUGAUAAUAGAGCAUACUAUACAGAACCUAAUUAAAGUGA